rnacentral:rRNA from 1 species
AGCGGGGGAGUAUGUGGCUCAAUUCGAUGCAACGCGAAGAACCUUACCAGGCCUUGACAUGCACUAGACGACUCUGAAAGGAGUUUUCCCUUCGGGGCUGGUGCACAGGUGCUGCAUGGCUGUCGUCAGCUCGUGUCGUGAGAUGUUGCGUUAARUCGCGCAACGAGGGCAACCCCUGUCCUUAGUUGCCAUCAGGUAAAGCUGGGCACUCUAGGGAGACAAACCCUCUAGAGGGUGGAAGGGGGGAGACGCAAGUCAGGAUGG